CAUCUUACCCGAGAGAAGUCGAACAAUAGCCCGAUCAUUGUGUAAAUACCAAAUAUGUUGCUACUACAAUUAAAGACUUUUGGGUCAUUUAGUAAUUGCUGACCAGAGACGAGGGUGCAGCCAUAGUGCAGAGUAAUAUUCUGGUCAGUGGAAACAUAGCUGAAAAUAUUUAAAUCCAAGGAGGCGUUCUCAGGGUUGUCCAAACAAAUA
rnacentral:lncRNA from 1 species